AUUGAACGCUGGCGGCAGGCCUAAUACAUGCAAGUCGAGCGAGCGGCGGACGGGUGAGUAAUGUCUGGGAAACUGCCUGAUGGAGGGGGAUAACUACUGGAAACGGUAGCUAAUACCGGAUACUAUCAGAUGGGCCAAGCUGGGAUUAGCUAGUAGGGGAGGUAACGGCCCACCUAGGCGACGAUCCCUAGCUGGUCUGAGAGGAUGACCAGCACCACCUGAACUGGGACACGGUCCCGACUCCUACGCUAAGCAUCAGUUACUAAUAUUUCAGAAUUGUGGCAAGCCUGAUGCAGCCAUGCCGCGUGUGGGAAGAAGGCCUUAUGGUUCUCAAAAACUUUAAGCUAGGAGGCGUUACUCGCACAGUAAGCCCCGGCUAACUCUGUGCCAGCAGCCGCGGUAAUAC
rnacentral:rRNA from 1 species